rnacentral:rRNA from 1 species
GAUGAACGCUGACAGAAUGCUUAACACAUGCAAGUCGAUGGGGAAGUGGUGCUUGCACCAUGGUAACCAUGGCGGACGGGUGAGUAACGCGUAAGGAACUUGCCUGCGGGACUGGGAUAACAGCAGGAAACUGCUGAUAAUACCGGAUAAGGUCAUUAAGCUGCAUAGCUUAGUGAUGAAAGGAGACGCCUGCGGAGAGCCUUGCGUCCUAUUAGCUAGUUGGAGGGGUAACGGCCCACCAAGGCGAAGAUAGGUAGCCGGCCUGAGAGGGUGGACGGCCACAAGGGGACUGAGAUACGGCCCUU